AUUCCAUUGUCUGAAUUUCCCAGAGGCGGCAGGACCCUCUGGUGGGCGGUGGCUGCCUUGUCUCUGUGACCUGCGCUUGUAGCCUGUGUUCUCCUGUCUUUGUACCUUCCCUUGCAGCACGUGGGACUUUAAAACAAAGAAGAAACACAGGGGACUCCAAUUCCAGAGUCUGUGAGUCUGAGCAAGACCAGCCCCAGAGCCACCAACCAGACCCACUGGAAUAGCUCAAAAGGGGUGCAUACGGCUGCAAAAAUAAACUCUUGAUCUGCUCAACAGAUUUAAUGUUUAGGCUGAAACCUGCAGCCCUGGGGAUGCCAGCAGCAGGGAGACUCCAUGGCUUUGUUUCCAAGAAGGCAAGAUGCUGAGCUGAGGAAUUGGUUUGGCGUGCAGAGUGUCCAAUUGCACCUCAUGGAGGAAGGCAGAUGAGUCAGUCGCCUGAGUCCUGGGAUCCAGAAAUUGUUCCAAAGUACAACCAGGGAAAAAUUCUAAAAGAAAAAGAAGAUGCUUCAACAGAGAGGAAGUGCACACUGGAGGUCCUCAGCAGAAGAAAGAAAUCAUCCUUGGGUAAAACAAGAACUUUAUAUUCCAGAUUUCAAUGAUAGAAAAAUAUUCCUACAUAGGAAAACCUUUGCAUCAUUAUCUAGACAGGUAUAGAAAGUUAAAACAAUUAAAAAUGACAUCUUUUAAUG